AACUCCGUUUAAGCAUUUAAACGUUAAAAGCAUUGCACGUGUACGACGAUGUAAUACCUUUUUUUUUUUUAACAGCCGAUGACGACGAAGUGAAAGACGAAGAACUUUGUUUGAUCGAUCUUACAAAGUUGGAAGAUGAUUAUCGAGAGGAUUCGCCGGAAGAGACCAACGCGAUCCCUUUAACCCAAUCGCAGUCUGAUUUUCCGUUUACAUCUCUUGCUCACUGGUCUCCCUUAACGCUGGAGGGUCCGUCAA